GACAGAGGUUGCAAACGUUGUUCGGAAUCACUGGGCAUAAAGCGCACGUAGGCGGUCUGUUAAGUCAGGUGUGAAAGCCCCCGGCUCAACCGGGGAACAGCGUUUGAUACUGGCAGACUCGAGGAUGGUAGGGGUGAGUGGAACUCCAGGUGGAGCGGUGAAAUGCGUAGAUAUCUGGAGGAACACCGGUGGCGAAAGCGGCUCACUGGACCAUAACUGACGCUGAGGUGCGAAAGCUAGGGUAGCAAACGGG
rnacentral:rRNA from 1 species